rnacentral:rRNA from 1 species
CGCCAGCAACGCUGGCGGUAUGCUUAACACAUGCAAGUCGAACGGUCUCUUCGGAGAUAGUGGCGGACGGGUUAGUAACGCGUGAGAAUCUAGCUUCAGGUCGGGGACAACCCCUGGAAACGGUGGCUAAUACCGGAUGUGCCGAAAGGUGAAAGAUUUAUUGCCUGAAGAUGAGCUCGCGUCUGAUUAGCUAGUUGGUGUGGUAAGAGCGCACCAAGGCGACGAUCAGUAGCUGGUCUGUAAGAGGAUGAUCAGCCACACUGGGACUGAGACACGGCCCAGACUCCUACGGGAGGCAGCAGUGGGGAAUUUUCCGCAAUG